AUGUCGGAUUGGGCCCACGCUAGCCCGCCGCGACUCCACAUACAUUCGUCAGAUCCAGCAUUGGUAGAUGAUGAUCUUGCAGAACAUAUGAUCGCAACAAGAGAGUUGAGUGCGAAACAAUGGUUGCUUACAAUGUUUGAUUCACUGCCACAUGCCACCCUCAUAAGAUUGGUAGUUACUUUGUGGGUCAUUUGGACUAUGAGAAGGAAAGAAAUACACGAAGAAAAUUACCAAACUCCUUUGGUGACACAUCAGUUCAUUGAUCGAUAUAUUGCUGAGUUGGAAAGCAUUAAACGUUCAUCGGGUGUGCUAGAUCAUGCACCACCAUGUGUCAAUUGGGCACGCUUAGGCAUGGAUUCCUCCUCCGAGUGGGGUGGCAAAGAUCAAUGUUGA
rnacentral:rRNA from 1 species